GUUAGAUUUAAUUCUAAUUUGAUAUUAUAAAAGAAUAUAGAAGGUAUAGAAUAAGUAGGAAUUUUGAUAUUAAUAAAAUACUAUUAUUCUAAUUAUUUCUUUACUUAUUUCAUGAAAUAGAACUAGAUUUAUAUCUAACUUCUAAUUUUAAAGUUUUUUAUAAGUUAAUUUAAAUUAAAAAUAUUAUUAAGUAGGAGGUUUAAUUAAAGUAGUAUAUCUAUUAAAUUAUAAUAUAAAUAUUUCAGAAGGAGUUUAUGAAAAAUAGAAGUUUCUAGUAGAAUAAAAAAGUAAAAGUCUUCUUAAUUUUAACUUUUAAUAUAAGUAUAAAUUAUAAAAAUAUAACUUAUGAAUCUUUUAGUCUUUUCAAAUUUAAAGCUAGAAGUACUACGAAAGUUAUUAU
rnacentral:ncRNA from 1 species